UACGUAGGGGGCAAGCGUUAUCCGGAUUUACUGGGUGUAAAGGGAGCGUAGACGGUGCAGCAAGUCUGAUGUGAAAGGUCGGGGCCCAACCCCGGGACUGCAUUGGAAACUGUUGAACUGGAGUACAGGAGAGGUAAGCGGAAUUCCUAGUGUAGCGGUGGAAUGCGUAGAUAUUAGGAGGAACAUCAGUGGCGAAGGCGGCCGCCUGGCCUGUUGCUGACGCUGAGGCACGAAAGCGUGGGGAGCAAAUAGG
rnacentral:rRNA from 1 species